rnacentral:misc_RNA from 1 species
GCAAGGAUAUGUCCGCCUCGGAUUUGUCCGCUGGGCAAGCGGAUCAGAUCCGAGCCUUGCCCGGCGGACCAAUCCGUACGUGUAUGGCUAAUCGCGGAUCAGAUCCGAAGCUUGCCCGGCGGACGAAUCCCCACGUGUAUGGCUAGCUAAUCUGUAAACUUAAGUUUUUGCAGUUAGUGAAAGAUGAUUCCCGACCACUACUUCGAUGAAGGCCUGAACGGCUCACUGUACCGGAAUGACAUGAAGCAGGUCAACACUGUGAAGAUGGUAUAUGAGAAGACACAGGCAGAUUAUGAGCAAGAACAACGCGACAUGCUCUCGUCACAAGAUGGCGACACUUGCGAGACGCACGACCAGUUCUACCGCGACCACAAAUUGCUGCUGGUGCUUUUCAGAGUUCUGGCUGUGAUGCCCAUCACCAGGUCACGACCAGGCACCGUAACAUUCAGCUGGAAAUCCCGCGCCACAAUGUACGCCAUCUCCUUCUACAUAGUAGCCACAGUAGUCGUCCUGAUGGUAGGCUACGAGCGCGUGAUGAUCCUGCGCUCCAUCAAGAAGUUCGACGACUACAUCUACGCCAUCCUGUUCGUGGCGUUCCUCGUGCCGCACUUCUGGAUCCCCUUCGUGGGGUGGGGCGUGGCGCACCAGGUCGCCAUCUACAAGACCAGCUGGGGCAAGUUCCAGGUUCGAUACUACCGAGUGACUGGCGAAAACCUGCAAUUCCCCAACCUGCAGACCCAGAUCGUCAUCAUUAGCGUCGGCUGCCUCCUCCUAGCCAUCUGUUUCCUCCUCAGCCUCUGCGCUCUCAUGGACGGUUUCCUCCUCAUACAUACCACAGCCUACUACCAUAUCAUCACCAUGAUUAAUAUGAACUGCGCGCUGUGGUACAUUAACUGCAAGGGCAUUAAGAUCGCCUCGCAAAGUCUGUCGGAAUGUUUUCGUAGGGACGUUAAUGUGGAGAUCUCGGCGAAGCUGAUAUCUCGGUACCGGUUCCUCUGGCUGAACCUGUCUGAGCUGCUGCAGUCACUCGGCAACGCCUACGCGCGUACCUACUCCACCUACUGCUUGUUCAUGUUCUUCAACAUCACCAUCGCGGUAUACGGCGCGCUCUCCGAGAUUGUGGACCACGGAUUCGGAUUCAGCUUCAAGGAAAUGGGACUGUUCGUCGACGCUGCUUACUGUUCCACUUUACUGUUCAUUUUCGUUGACUGCUCUCAUAAAUCCACCUUGAAGCUGGAGUUCAAGACACUUUGCUGGGCAUUGACAUGUUGGCUGUCGAUAGGCCUGCUCAAAAAGAGAUCGACCACUUUAUCCAAGCCAUCGAGAUGAACCCCGCCGUCGUGAGCCUGAAAGGUUACGCACACGUCAACAGAGAACUACUCACUUCGGCAAUAAGCAUGAUAGCUAUUUAUUUGAUCGUGCUGCUGCAGUUCAAGAUAUCGCUGCCCAAAACUGACACAUAAGACCAAUCUAAGUUGUGAGAACUAAAAGUUUAUUGACAUACGAAGCAUCGAUUUAAACUUCCCUUGUAGUUGUAAGUUAGUUAGUAGUUGUAGUUGUAAACUUGUAGUUUAAAUCGAUGAUACGAAGACAAACUUAUUCGCUGGUAAUUGUUGCGAGCUUAUAGUAAGUGCAAAGAGGAUCGAGUAUAGAGAAUUACUUUCUAAGUAAAAGCAGGGGCGGCUUACUCCGCGAUCCUUUCGCCGCGCUACAAGUACAUGCCGGCGGCUGCGAGUUCGCGGCCCAUUCAGUGGCGACGACUUUCGCGCGGCUCAAUAGAAUUCAAUGUCGUCUGCACGCGUGCGGUCCGUU